AGUGAACGCUGGCGGUAGGCCUAACACAUGCAAGUCGAACGGCAGCACAGGAGAGCUUGCUCUCUGGGUGGCGAGUGGCGGACGGGUGAGGAAUACAUAGGAAUCUACUUUUUCGUGGGGGAUAACGUAGGGAAACUUACGCUAACACCGCAUACGACCUACGGGUGAAAGCAGGGGACCUUCGGGCCUUGCGCGAUUGAAUGAGCCGAUGUCGGAUUAGCUAGUUGGCGGGGUAAAGGCCCACCAAGGCGACGAUCCGUAGCUGGUCUGAGAGGAUGAUCAGCCACACUGGAACUGAGACACGGUCCAGACUCCUACGGGAGGCAGCAGUGGGGAAUAUUGGACAAUGGGCGCAAGCCUGAUCCAGCCAUACCGCGUGGGUGAAGAAGGCCUUCGGGUUGUAAAGCCCUUUUGUUGGGAAAGAAAUCCAGCCGGCUAAUACCUGGUUGGGAUGACGGUACCCAAAGAAUAAGCACCGGCUAACUUCGUGCCAGCAGCCGCCGUAA
rnacentral:rRNA from 1 species